UGGUUAGAAAACUUUCUCAGAUUCUUCACCAUUCACAGUAUAACAGGGGAAAUAACUCUAGGUAAUAUAGCCUAUAGGGGGCUAACUUCAAUUUGAUAAGACAGGAAAACAUUGGAGGCAGGGAGUUUUGACGUGUUUACAUCAAAGGCAACGUUAUUUAAUUCCAACGUGUUAAAGAUUAACUGAAGAAUGCGAGGGUUAGAAUAAUUAUGUCAAAACUCGAGAAUGGGAUAAAUGGCAUGAGCCUGAAAAAUGGUGAAAAGUCUUUAACAGCAGGUCUAGAACACACAGCAGGUGACCAGGGUCAAAGUUCAAGCAGUGUUGCUGAAUUGAAGGAAUUAAAACAGAGUAUAUUUGAUAUUUUACGCGAUGUGAGGGAUCCAGAGAAACCUGAGACGUUAGAAGAAUUAAAUGUGCUGACAGAAGAAUCCAUCAGUGUAACUCGCUUAAAGGGCAAUCAGCUCAUGGUUAAUGUUGAGUUUACCCCAACGGUACC